AGUAUUAUUUGGAGGAAAAAAGAAAGACCUGAUGAUCUCAUCUUUGCCAGAAUGCCAGUUAAAUAUGCCUUUCAUCCAAAGUCAACUUUUAAAGCUAAAACUUGGCUGGAGAAGUGUACCAUACAGAGAGGUUGCCUCUUCUUUUGAAGGCCAGCAGAGCUUCUUGUGGGAUGAGAAGGAAGAAAUAAACAACAAGCGUGAUAAAUUAUGCAGUGUGGCAGAAAUAGACACGCUGUUGCUGUUUAAAAAAUAAACAAGAAACAGGAUCAGCAACCAGAUAUGAUGAAAAUGAUAAGUUUUGAAGUAUGGCUCAUCUGGAUUUCAAUCCAAGCUCCACUGCUUACUGGCUUUGUGACCUUGAGUAAAUUUAUUUAACUUUCUAAGUCCCAGGGACCUCUUUUGUAAAUCUGUGGUAUGUAGA